GGAAAGUCCUGCCCACACUAACUAUAGACAUCGACGGCAAAACAAAUUCCUACUAACUUCUUGGGCAUUUUGGAAUAGCACCUUUUGCCUCAGCGCGAUAGCUGCAGCCUGGUGUUACAUCUUGAGGGCUGCUACAGGAGAAGACAAAACCUCCCUAAAUGCCUGCCUGGAAGCUGUGAUGGGCUGGAUGAGGGAUAACAAACUGAGACUGAAUCCAGAUGCAAUGGAGUCAGAGAGCAGGGAAAUUUGACAACAGUCUGCUGAUUUACUGCAGUUUUAUGGCAGCAAAACCAGAGGAACAGGAGGAGGAAGUGUAUGACAAGCCUGUUCGACUCAUUUCACACAGGGCACCAAAGAAGAGGAGGAAGCAAUGUCACCACCUCCCAUCUUAUUUCAUUUUUAAUUGUCCCCAGGUGAAGGAAGCAGCAAUGGCUUCAGCAACAGCAAGCAGGCAGGCAAGGUAAAUCUGUGGGUGAACCCUAGGGUUGCCAACUGUCCCACAUUGCGUGGGAUGUCCCCUAUUUCCUGGGGAGCAAUUCUCAUCCCGUUUGGGA